UAGUAUCAGCAAGGUGUAAUUUUUGUUUGGUUAAAGUACACGUUACUGGUACUACG
rnacentral:pre_miRNA from 1 species